CAUCCUCAUCUUGUGAAGCUGAUUGGUUACUGCUUAGAGGAUGAACACCGGCUUUUGGUGUACGAGUUCAUGCCUCGAGGCAGUUUGGAAAAUCAUUUAUUUAGGAGAGGAUCUUACUUCCAGCCUCUUUCUUGGAAUCUCCGCUUGAAGGUUGCUCUUGGCGCUGCGAAGGGGCUUGCAUUUCUUCAUAGUGAUGAAAAUAAAGUUAUAUAUCGGGACUUCAAGACUUCUAACAUUCUACUUGAUUCAAAAUACAAUGCAAAGCUCUCUGAUUUUGG
rnacentral:misc_RNA from 1 species